rnacentral:rRNA from 1 species
UACGAAGGGGGCUAGCGUUGCUCGGAAUUACUGGGCGUAAAGCGCGCGUAGGCGGGUCGCUAAGUCGGGGGUGAAAUCCUGGAGCUCAACUCCAGAACUGCCUUCGAUACUGGCGAUCUUGAGUCCGGGAGAGGUGAGUGGAACUCCGAGUGUAGAGGUGAAAUUCGUAGAUAUUCGGAAGAACACCAGUGGCGAAGGCGGCUCACUGGCCCGGUACUGACGCUGAGGUGCGAAAGCGUGGGGAGCAAACAGG